rnacentral:rRNA from 1 species
AUGCACGCUGGCGGCGUGCUUAACACAUGCAAGUCGAACGGAAAGGCCCAAGCUUGCUUGGGUACUCGAGUGGCGAACGGGUGAGUAACACGUGGGUGAUCUGCCCUGCACUUCGGGAUAAGCCUGGGAAACUGGGUCUAAUACCGGAUAGGACCACGUCUUGGAUGUUGUGGUGGAAAGUUUUUUCGGUGUGGGAUGAGCUCGCGGCCUAUCAGCUUGUUGGUGGGGUAAUGGCCUACCAAGGCGUCGACGGGUAGCCGGCCUGAGAGGGUGUACGGCCACAUUGGGACUGAGAUACGGCCCAGACUCCUACGGGAGGCAGCAGUGGGGAAUAUUGCACAAUGGGCGCAAGCCUGAUGCAGCGACGCCGCGUGGGGGAUGACGGCCUUCGGGUUGUAAACUCCUUUCGCUAGGGACGAAGCGUUUUUGUGACGGUACCUGGAGAAGAAGCACCGGCUAACUACGUG